AAUAGUGUGUUAGAUUCCGGUUGAUCCUGCCGGAGGUCACUGCUAUUGGGAUUCGACUAAGCCAUGCGAGUCGAGAGGGUUCGGCCCUCGGCAGACGGCUCAGUAACACGUGGAUAAUCUGCCCUUAGGUGG
rnacentral:rRNA from 1 species